CUUGAACUCUGGGGCUCCACGGAUUCACAUGAACACAACCUAGGUUGUGAGACAUGGAGGAUAAUGGAAGCCUUAUUUAUAUCAACCACAUUAUAAUCCGGGAUCGCUCGCUGGAGAUGAGCCUCGGACUCCGUCCAAACCCUGGGCCGCCAUGACCGGUUUCACUCACUUGUGUGGGGAUCGUACACAGGAAGACGUGGAGGGGGACAGAGGUAUCAGGUCCUGCCGCUGUGAUUUAGAGCGGCUUCGGAAAGAGGCCAGGGACCGAAAGAGCAGGAGACCCUGAGUGGAAGAAUGCCUCCAUCCUUCCUGCUUUUAAACGAUACCGCUGAGGGAACGCCGGGACGGGACCUGUGGGACCUGUGAGGAUUCAGGGGCUGCAAUUCAGGGGCUGCAUCCUUCCAAGGUCGCAUUUGAAGACCAAUCGUGUCCCAGUGGAGCGACUUGACGCUCCCACAAAUGCAGCCGACAAAUGUGUCCGUCCAUCUCCAAGAAACGAAGGCUCAAAUGGGUGGAUCCCUCCCAGAACAACCUAUCCCAGGAUUCACUGGGUAACCAACCGUUUUUCAAAGAGGAGCUCCUUCCAUGAUGGAGUGCACAAGGAAUGCAGCGGAUCAUCAGGUCCCCGAGCGCCCCUUUAAAGUGGUGAGGAAUGUGGAGUAGUCCUCCACGAGGUGUAAGGUGAUCAAAGGCGUGGCAAAGGUCUGGACUUGGUUUAUUGGUGAGCGGUGGUCAGCCGACGGGCUCCGGGAUCAAAGAAUUCACUUUACUCAAGGGGCACAUCUGUCUCUCGGGCCAAUCAAUGGCCAGAACUUACUUAGAAUGGGCUGUUCACCCAACUCCUAUGAUAGAUGAUGUUACACAUAAUAUUAUUUAGCCCGAUUUCCUUUCUGGAGCCAAAAAUCCGAUGACAGUUGGUUAGACUUCAACAUUAUGAAACAAUGUGGGAUGUUUUUGUUCCCUGACAUUAUAGGUUGUCAUGUUGCAUUUAGCCAUGAGCUGCAGGAGCAUGAUUAAGUCAAAUCACAUGGUUAAACCGCAAGGAAAUUUCAGCGCAUGUAUGAGAAGUCGGACGUGUUGAUUCUGGCAAAAUUACAAAAUGAGGUAUAGAAUUUAACCGACUUUGAUUAAUUUGAUGAGAAUAUGAUUAUAAGUCAAAACAAACUAACGACCCGUAACUGACAGGGUGGAGGAGGUGGAGGAGUUACAGAAAAUUGAAAUUGAGCUGGAACCACUUGAGAGCGCAAUAACUUUUUUAACACAGACUGCAGAAUAAAGAGAGAAGAAACACAGACA